UUGGGGAAGGAUUAAUGUUUAACAUAACCCAAGAUGAGUUUGAACCUAGUACUAUAAGCCUUGAAGUUGGUCCGGUAGUUGACUUAUCUUUUCUAUCUUUGGAGCUUCCAUGACCUUUAACUAUUCUUUUGCUUCCAAACCAUAACACUAAAGAAGAAUAAGGGAAAAAAAAUAAUAUGAUGUGAGAAAGCAAGCUAGAUGAAAAGAUAUAAAAUUGAGAUAUAGAAUGUGGAAAAAAUGGAUUAGACAGAGAAAAUUGAAGGGACACUAUAUUGUGAAACAUAACAAUAGAGGCACAAAAAUGCAAAAGAAAUUAUAAGAUCUAAUGAUGUUGAACUAAAAUUUGAAGAAAAAAUUUUCAGUUUUACCAAUAUUAGUUUGAGAGACUGAUAUAGUGAAUAUGCAUAUAUACCAAGAAUAACACCAAGAAAUUCGAAAUAAUAUAUAAUGAGAAAUUAGACAAAAAUAUUAUCUUCAAUUCAAAAAGAACGAAAUGAGAUUUAUCCAACAAAAGUGACGAAAAAAAAUGUUAACUUGUUAGGUAAAAAUGCUACCUUGUUAAGCAUUGGGAAAAAAGGAUAGAUAGAGAAAGUAAAAUGGUUGAAGAGACACUAUAGUAUGAAAAUUAGGCUUAUGAGAUAACAACUGAAACACAAAAAAUGUAAAUAAGCUAUAAGAUAUAAUGUAUGAAAGGGACAUCACUUCAGGAAAUAUAACCAGCCCUUUGCAUUAUUAUAUAGAUAGUAGAUAAAGUUCAAAAUUUUAAGGCAAAAACUAUGAAAGAGACAUCACUUCGGGACAUUAAGGCAAAUGCAUGAAACCAAUAUGUAUUGAAGAUCACAUUUUUCUGACAUUAAAAAUGUGAAUGUAGAUGAGAUCUGAAAAAAAGUAAGUGUCAAUUAACAAAAAGCCAGAAAGGAUAAACAUUAUCCGAAACACAAAUGCAUGUACCUUCACUAUUUUGUUGAAAUCAAAUUUUACAGACAUUAAUAAUGUGAAUAUUGAUCAGAUGUGGAAAAAACGUAGACCAAAUCUGACAUUUUCAACAAAAUAUUGAAGAUAAACUUUCAUGAAACACAUGUUGAAGAUGAUAUUUAUAAGCAAGAAACACAUAUUGAAGAUCAUAAUGUUAAUCUUCAAAUAUUAUAUUAACUUAGACAUCUUCAACAUCUUCAAGAACAUACUGAAGAUCUGAAAAAGUAGAUCAUGUUUCAAAGGUAGAAUUUUGACAUCUUCAAUAAAAUAACCAUUCAUGAAAUGCAUGUUGAAGAUCAUAUUUGUAAACAAGAAACACAUAUUGAAGAUCACAUUUUUAAGAACAAAAAUGUCAAAGUAGAUUGGGUCCGGAAAAACACAUAUUCAAAAAAUAAAUCAGUUAACAUUCAUGAAAGGCAAAACCUUUUGAAACACAACCUUCGUGUUUCAAAGGUAAAACCUUUGUAGUAAAUAAAAAACCCAACAUUACCUUAAGUAGAGAAGAAGAAGAAACGAACAAGUUGUAGAGAGAAGAAGAAGAAGCACCGAAUAGAGUGGAGUAGUUGGAAGAUAACAAUAAUGAGAGAGAAGAAAGGAAAAUGGA
rnacentral:lncRNA from 1 species